AAGCUCGUAGUUGGAUUUCUGUUAAUAGUUUAUAUAUAAUAUUUUAUGAUAUUUAUAUAAUAUUAACAUAAUUCAUAUUACUAUUAUUAGUAUAUGAAAUUUUACUUUGAGAAAAUUAGAGUGCUUAAAGCAGGCAUUUGCCUUGAAUACUCCAGCAUGGAAUAAUAUAAAAGAUUUUUAUCUUUUUUAUUGGUUCUAAGAUAAAAAUAAUGAUUAAUAGGGACAGUUGGGGGCAUUUGUAUUUAACAGUCAGAGGUGAAAUUCUUAGAUUUGUUAAAGACAAACUAGUGCGAAAGCAUUUGCCAAGGAUGUUUUCAUUAAUCAAGAACGAAAGUUAGGGGAUCGAAGACGAUCAGAUACCGUCGUAGUCUUAACCAUAAACUAUGCCAACUAGAGAUUGGAGGUUGUUCCUUA
rnacentral:rRNA from 1 species